rnacentral:rRNA from 1 species
AUUGAACGCUGGCGGCAGGCCUAACACAUGCAAGUCGAGCGAGCGGCGGACGGGUGAGUAAUGUCUGGGAAACUGCCUGAUGGAGGGGGAUAACUACUGGAAACGGUAGCUAAUACCGCAUACCAUCAGAUGUGCCCAGAUGGGAUUGGCUGGUAGGUGGGGUAACGGCGAACCGAGGCGACGAUCCCUAGCUGGUCUGAGAGGAUGACCAGCCACACUGGAACUGAGACACGGUCCAUACUCCUACGGGAGGCAGCAGGGGGGAAUAUUGCACAAUGGGCGCAAUCCUGAUGCAGCCAUGCCGCGUGUGUGAAGAAGGCCUUCGGGUUGUAAAGCACUUUCAGCGGGGAGGCGUUACCCGCAGAAGAAGCACCGGCUAACUCCGUGCCAGCCGCCGCGGUAAUAC